AUUGAACGCUGGCGGCAGGCCUAACACAUGCAAGUCGAGCGGAUGAAGGGAGCUUGCUCCUGGAUUCAGCGGCGGACGGGUGAGUAAUGCCUAGGAAUCUGCCUGGUAGUGGGGGAUAACGUCCGGAAACGGGCGCUAAUACCGCAUACGUCCUGAGGGAGAAAGUGGGGGAUCUUCGGACCUCACGCUAUCAGAUGAGCCUAGGUCGGAUUAGCUAGUUGGUGGGGUAAAGGCCUACCAAGGCGACGAUCCGUAACUGGUCUGAGAGGAUGAUCAGUCACACUGGAACUGAGACACGGUCCAGACUCCUACGGGAGGCAGCAGUGGGGAAUAUUGGACAAUGGGCGAAAGCCUGAUCCAGCCAUGCCGCGUGUGUGAAGAAGGUCUUGGAUUGUAAAGCACUUUAAGUUGGGAGGAAGGGCAGUAAGUUAAUACCUUGCUGUUUUGACGUUACCAACAGAAUAAGCACCGGCUAACUUCGUG
rnacentral:rRNA from 1 species